UGAACCAUCGAGUUUUUGAACGCAAGUUGCGCCCGAGGCCAUUCGGCUGAGGGCACGCCUGCCUGGGCGUCAGUUGCCCACUAACGCUCCUUGCCCAUCUUUUACGUGGCGGGAUGCGGAGCAUGGCCAUCCUUGCCCUCGGGCUCGGCGGGCCGAAGCAUGUGGCUUGCCGAUUGGGGCCGGCAGUGGCGAGUGGUGGAUUGCUCACGCGAGCCGUACGUCGCCCGUCGUGCCCCCGAGCGGGAAGCCUCGUGUCACCCCGGACGCACGGAUGCCGAACGGCAUCCUCGGACCAAGACCCCAGGU
rnacentral:rRNA from 1 species